ACGUGACUUCCCAAAUAUAUAUAUAGUUGGAAACAUCUGCGAUGGUUUACAUGAUUUGUGAUUUGGUGUUAUAAAGCUAUUUGGGAAUUUAGUGAACCAUAUAAUUAUUAUAAGAUUUUAUUUGGAGUUCAACCCAAUGGGGGAUUUAGCUAAGGAGGGGUUUUAGUGCAAAGUAUGCCAACCUAAUAUUUUAUUGGAGUUUAAACUAAUUUAUGAAACAAAGGUUUCAUAAUAGAUUUUAAAACCUAUUUUAUGUAUUACUUAUAAAGCCCUAAUGACAUUUAUAUAAGCAAAAGUAUUUUUACUUAUUUUAUUUUGAAAAGAUUCAAGUCCCAAAAUCUCACACUUUGGAGGAUUUGAAUUUACAAAUUUUCUGGAGUUUAUUUGGACUUAUUUGGAGUUAGCAAUCAAAAGAUAUAGAUGAAAACAGAAAAAGAAAAAAAAAAGAAAAAAAAGGGGCAACGGACCGGCCCGGCAGAAUUGGGCUGAACCGGCCCAGCUUACCGCGCGCCCGAAGCCGCAGCCUAGCCGGCCCAGCUCUCCUCUUCCUCUUUUCAUUUUUUUUUCUUUUCUCCGUGGGCCUCCUUCUCCCUGUGGCCCAUCUCCUUUCCUUCUACCUGGGGCUUUCUCUCCCUCUGGCCCAUCUCCUCCGAGAGCACGAGCACGAGCUCGUCUUCCUCCUCUGCACCUAAAAGGAAACCACUCCUUUCAUAUUUUCUUCCUUCGAUUACUUUGCUUCCCGCGUGUCUCUCUCCGAAAGGAAACCACCCCAUCAAUCCUCACCAUCCCAAGAACCGAUUCAGGAAAUCAAUUUGAAGUUUCCUCUCAUAAUCACAGUUUCCAAAAGAGGCGUCCCGAAUGCCGCCCGUUGACAUCCACGCCCGAUCUCCCUCCUCGGCCAAUAUAAAAGGAUUCCACGCGCGUCACUUUGAGCCUUUGCCUCUCCCAAUCCCAUCAACGUCUUUCUCCGCCCGUCACCGCCACCAUUGUUGCAGGUGAGCUCGCUCCAAACCUCCGUUCUUCGAUUCCUUUCACCGGUAGACUCAUGUGACCCGUGUCUACCGCUGUGACAAGGUUGUGUGAACAACCGUCGCCGUUGGCCGCGUCGUCCCCCGAUCCCAUGCCGACGCCGCACCCGGAGCUCCGCCGUCGCCGUCCGGAGGCGCCCUCGACCCUGCAA
rnacentral:lncRNA from 1 species